AUUUUCUGCUCAGAGUUACAGGCUAUAGGUUAUGAUAACUGCACUCCAGCCUGUUAGCGUUCCUAACUGUUGCAUGCCCUGCUUGCUGUGUUCUAGCACUUUAUUUGACAUAGGGAAGUCAGUGCUAUAGAAGAUAGAGAAAUGCUUUCUGAAGCAUCUUUAAGAUUAAAGCAGAAGCACGAGUUCCCAGAUACCGCUGUUGAGGAGGCUAACAGGUUAAGAUGGGGAACAAAAUAUCUCAAGAAAGGAAAUUGCACCACCAGACUUUGACAGAGGUCCUUGAGAACAGUCUACAAGAAAGCAGCCAAGGACUGUCAAGCAGUCAAAAGAAAUGCAUCCUUCCUGCUGAUGGACCUACCCCACUCUGCUAUAAAUAAAAUUCACUUGUGUAGAUAUAUAGUCCUUGGAGAUGCUUCCUCAUACAACCCAUUUUAAAAUUAAGACUACGAGACGCAGAAAUACAACUUGUCUUACAAAGCCACUGAGGAGCAAAGGCAUUUAUUUGGGCUUGAGAAAACAUGUCCUGUACGUGUCCUAGCCUCAAGAUAUCCAUCAAGCUUUCACUGCACUGCAAGAACAUAUCAAACUAGCAGUUUCCAGAGUUUUCUCAUCACACAAGAUGUGAAACCCCCAGGAAAGAGGGAAGAACAUUUCCGAACAAGAAGUCUGUUGAGGACAUUAGCUACUCUGAUCCAUCUCUUCCUAAAUUUUUACACCUAUGAAUUUGGCAUCUCACAUUAUCUCAGCUGUUACUAUUCCAAUUUCUGUAUAUAGGGAUACUCCUACACUCCCACCAUUUGUCACUUCAGUUUUUUGUAAGUCUAUAUUAAAAAGAAAACAACACUAGAAUGUAAUCAAGACCUAAAGGCACUCCAGAGAUACUAAAAUAUUUUCCCAUCU
rnacentral:lncRNA from 7 species